GGCUCGGAUUGGCCGGGCCGGCGCUGCCUCAGGUUGUGAUUGGCUGGGCUGGUCCGGCCCUGGCUAUAAAUAGCGUACCCUGAGGGGUGCAGCCGUUAGUUUAGCGGCGGAGUUGAGGGAGGCUGCUGGUGGUGCGCGGUCUGAGGAGCGCCGCUGCUGCAGAUCGGGAGAGUCCCGCCCCGGGUGCAGCAGUAGAGAAGCAGUAGCAGCUUUUAGCUGCAGGCAGUGGGAAGCUGAGGAGCUGGAGCUGAGGCAGCAGAGCUGGAGAAGACACAGAGAUGAGCUGGAGCUGAAUCCUCACAACUGGAGCCGAAAAAAAAACCCUGUUGUCUCAGCCUGGAGCAGCUACACCUGGCCGACUGGGAGAAAAGAGGAUCUGGAGCUGGAAAAACUGAGCUGGCAGUGAAAUAAAGCUUGUGGGUCAAGAGCUGAAAUCACUGGGGCUGAGAAGGGCACUCUAGGUCUCGACCUGAAAUCACUGGAGCGGUGAGGUGGGGACUGCAAAUGGCAUAGAACCUGUAGGGCAGAUGCAGACACUGUAGGAUUCGUGUGCUGAAAUUACUGUAGGCCUGUGAUAUUGAUGUUUGCACUGGGUAUUGUGACUGGAAAGAGAUUGCUGUAAGAUUGUGUCUGAAAUCCCGGCAGUGCUGGGAUAUUU